rnacentral:misc_RNA from 1 species
GUCAGUGAAUAGUGAUGCAUUCUUUUUUUUAUUUGAGAAAUAGUGAUGCAUUCUUACUUGUACAGUUAUUGGCUAUUGGUCUUCUUCUUCUACAAAAAAAUCUUAUCGUGCAAUUAUUUAUUGGGUGGUCUAAAAUGGAAAUUGUCCGUGUUUACCAAAGGAAACUAGAGAGGUUCUUUGUUUUUGGAAGGCCACAAUGUUAUUGAUAGAAAAGUAGUAGAAUUUAUUGUGUUCUAUGCAAUUUCUCUAUUCAUGCAAAUAAUUUAUAGAUUUUUAUUCAAUU